AAAUUGAAGAGUUUGAUCAUGGCUCAGAUUGAACGCUGGCGGCAGGCCUAACACAUGCAAGUCGAACGGUAACAGGAAGAAGCUUGCUUCUUUGCUGACGAGUGGCGGACGGGUGAGUAAUGUCUGGGAAACUGCCUGAUGGAGGGGGAUAACUACUGGAAACGGUAGCUAAUACCGCAUAACGUCGCAAGACCAAAGAGGGGGACCUUCUGGCCUCUUGCCAUCGGAUGUGCCCAGAUGGGAUUAGCUAGUAGGUGGGGUAACGGCUCACCUAGGCGACGAUCCCUA
rnacentral:rRNA from 1 species